rnacentral:lncRNA from 1 species
CUCGAACUCCUGACCUUGUGAUCCACCUGCCUCAGCCUCCUAAAGUGCUGGGAUUACAGGCGUGAGCCACCACGCCCGGCCUGGUUGCUCUCAAUUCUAACUACAUCUUAAAAUCACCCAAAGAGAUUUUUAAAAUCCCAAUUCUUGGGCUCCACCUCCAGAAAUUCUGGUUUGAUUUUCCUGAGGUAAAGCCCUGUUUUUCUUUUUUUCGUUUUUAUAUUUCACCAGGUAUGGGAAGCUGUGGAUUCCAAAGCUCAGUAAAUUAAGGAAUUUCACAUUAUGAACUCAAUUUGAGAUGGGCUGGACUGGUGAUACCUGGAAGGGGUAAAUGAGAAUCCACUCUGGAGGCACUUUAUGCCUCAGGGAGCAUCCAGAAAUAAUUUUUCAGGAACAGUGACCAGCAAGUUGUCACAGAUAUCCAGCAUGCAAGGGAAUAGAACCACAUGAAUGAGAUCAAAUAGAAACAACAGAUAGUAUAAGCAGAUUCAUCUAAACAGAGUAGCUUUGAACUAGGGAUGUUGCUUUGGUUUGGGUUCAAGGCCCUCAUUCAACUUCUCUUAGCCCACAAUGGUGAGUCUUCAAGAAAUAUGAAUAUACAUUACAGUUACAACUAGCCCUUGUUAUCUGCUGGCACGUAGAUACCAUUGCACCAUAGAACCUACCCCCGCCUCCAAAGUCUUUAUAGGAGCUGUAGUACUUGCCUCUGUUUAGAUUAUGGGGUUUAUUUCCCACUGUGUCCUCUAUAUGUGGUGCUAGAUAUUGUUUAUUUCUAAUCAGCACUAAUUUCUACCUCUUUUUGUGCUCUUACCUCUGUUUCAGGGGCUGGAAACCUAACAAUUUCACUUCCUAGACAACUUGCUAAAAGUCACCUAAAGACAGUCUGGUUACUGCCAAAGAUAUGCUUUCAAAUAAGAUUUGGAUAAAGAAGGGAGGUAGAUGCCUUUUUUCAGCAGUGGAGUGAUGUCUAGACCAGUAGACAUAUGCAUCUAAGUGAACUCAUCACCAGCAACAAUUUCCUGAAACUUCCUGACCUCCAGAUUGCAGCUUCAUUAGUGGUCCUGGAAGGAAAAGAGAUUCAGAAGGUGCAGAAAAUACUGGAAGAUUAGAAAACUGGUAGAUGAAAAGAAGGCAUACUUUUUUGGUAAAUGAAAAUAAUAUAUUUUUAUUAUUUUUAUAUUUCAUUUGACCAUCAUUAGUUAUGAUUUUAUAAUAGUUCCUAACAUCUUCACUACGGAUUACUUUUUUCUUUUCUUUUUCUUUGAGACAGGGUCUUGCUCUGUCACUUAGGCUGGAGUGCAGUGGCACCAUCUUGGCUCACUGCAAUCUCAACCUGUUGAGCUCAAGUGAUCCUCCCACCUCAGC